GUGCCUAUGUCUGGGAGGGAGGGAAGAUGGCAGCCGUGGCGGCAGGCGGCCUGGUGGGAAAGGGGCGCGACAUCAGCCUAGCGGCCCUGCAGCGCCACGACCCCUAUAUCAACCGCAUCGUGGACGUGGCCAGCCAGGUGGCUCUGUACACCUUCGGCCAUCGGGCCAACGAGUGGGAGAAAACUGAUGUGGAAGGAACCUUAUUUGUUUAUACAAGGUCUGCUUCUCCAAAGCAUGGAUUCACCAUUAUGAAUAGGCUGAGCAUGGAAAAUAGGACAGAACCUAUUACUAAAGACUUGGAUUUCCAACUCCAGGACCCUUUCCUUCUCUACAGAAAUGCCAGAUAUGAGGAAACUGAGACUCCAGUGAGGAGGCAGACUGUGUAAAAACCCACAGAUUCUGAUUUCACUUCCGUUGCUUUUUCCACACCACCUGUACUGCUCUACUAUUAAACAUGGAUGCAAAUUAAAGUGUCCAUCUAUGGAAUUUGGUUUUAUGAUAAGGAAGAAUGCCAAAGAAUUGCAGAGCUUAUGAAAAACCUAACUCAGUAUGAACAGUUGAAAGCCCAUCAGGGAACUGGAGCAGGAAUUUCCCCAGUGAUCCUCAAUUCAGGAGAGGGCAAAGAAGUAGACAUUUUACGAAUGCUCAUCAAGGCCAAAGACGAAUACACAAAGUGUAAAACCUGUUCUGAGCCAAAAAAGAUAACCAGUUCCUCUGCCAUCUAUGACAAUCCAAAUCUCAUCAAACCAAUUCCAGUGAAACCCAGUGAAAACCAGCAACAGCGUAUACCUCAGCCCAACCAGACCUUAGACCCUGAACCCCAACACUUAUCCUUGACAGCUCUGUUUGGGAAGCAGGACAAAGCUACAUGUCAGGAAACUGUGGAGCCUCCGCAGACUCUCCACCAGCAGCAGCAGCAGCAGCAGCAGCAGCAAGAGAAGCUUCCAAUUAGGCAGGGGGUUGUACGCUCCCUGUCCUAUGAGGAACCCAGAAGACACUCACCCCCCAUUGAGAAGCAGCUCUGUCCAGCCAUUCAGAAACUCAUGGUCAGGAGCGCAGACCUCCACCCAUUGUCAGAGCUGCCUGAAAACCGGCCUUGUGAAAAUGGCAGUACCCAUUCUGCGGGAGAAUUUUUUACAGGACCUGUCCAGCCAGGGUCUCCUCACAACAUUGGAACUUCUCGUGGUGUACAAAAUGCUUCCAGAACUCAGAACCUGUUCGAGAAACUUCAGAGUACCCCAGGGGCAGCAAACAAGUGUGACCCUAGUACACCAGCACCUGCCAGCUCAGCUGCCCUGAACCGCAGCAGAGCUCCCACUUCUGUCACCCCUGUGGCUCCAGGAAAGGGUCUGGCUCAGCCACCACAGGCCUAUUUCAAUGGCUCCCUUCCACCUCAGACAGUAGGACAUCAGGCUCAUGGAAGAGAACAGUCCACACUCCCAAGACAAACACUCCCCAUCUCUGGUAGUCAGACUGGCAGCUCUGGAGUGAUCUCCCCUCAAGAGUUACUGAAGAAGCUUCAGAUUGUACAGCAGGAGCAGCAGCUGCAUGCCUCUAACCGGCCAGCCUUGGCCGCUAAGUUUCCUGUGCUCGCUCAGAGCUCUGGAACAGGGAAACCCUUGGAAUCCUGGAUCAACAAGACACCCAACACAGAACAGCAGACUCCUCUUUUCCAGGUCAUCUCACCUCAGCGCAUCCCUGCUACAGCAGCUCCGUCUCUGCUUAUGUCCCCCAUGGUGUUCGCACAACCCACCUCCGUCCCGCCAAAGGAAAGGGAGAGCGGCCUCUUGCCUGUGGGAGGCCAGGAGCCACCUGCUGCUGCCACCAGCCUCCUCCUGCCCAUACAGAGCCCGGAGCCCUCCGUGAUCACCAGCAGCCCACUCACCAAGCUCCAGCUCCAGGAGGCACUGCUGUACCUCAUUCAGAAUGAUGACAACUUCUUAAAUAUAAUCUAUGAAGCCUAUCUCUUCAGCAUGACUCAAGCAGCCAUGAAAAAGACUAUGUGACAGCAAGGCCUUUUAAAACUGAUUUUCAAGGUCCUUCUAGAACUCCGGCACAAGUGCAGAGUGGACCUCCAGCAAACUCCAGCAGACCUGCAGCAGAGGGGCCUGACUGUUAGAAGGAAAACUAACAAACAGAAAGGAAUACCAUCAACAUUAACAAAAAGGACGUCCACGCAAAAACCCCAUCCGAAGGUCAUCAGUGUCAAAGAUAAAUCCACGAAGAUGGGGAAAAAACAGUGCAAAAAGGCUAAAAAUUCC